rnacentral:tRNA from 1 species
ACUUUUAUAGUUUAAUUUAGAAUUUAGUUUUGAAGUUACUAAGGUAAUUUUUUUUAAAAGUA